UACAGAGGUGACAAACGUUGUCCGGAAUUAUUGGGCGUAAAGGGCGCGUAGGUGGUUGAGUAAGUCAGGUGUGAAAGCUCUGGGCUUAACCCAGGAAUUGCAUCUGAUACUGCUCGGCUUGAGUACGGUAGAGGAGGGUGGAAUUCCCAGUGUAGCGGUGAAAUGCGUAGAUAUCGGGAGGAACACCAGUGGCGAAGGCGGCGAUCUGGGAAGAUACUGACGCUGAGGUGCGAAAGCGUGGGGAGCAAACAGG
rnacentral:rRNA from 1 species